AACGAACGCUGGCGGCAGGCCUAAUACAUGCAAGUCGAACGCCCCGCAAGGGGAGUGGCGCACGGGUGAGUAACGCGUGGGAAUGUGCCCUUAGGUGCGGAACAACGUUUGGAAACGAACGCUAAUACCGCAUAAUAUCUCCGGAUCAAAGAUUUAUCGCCUAGGGAUCAGCCCGCGUUGGAUUAGCUAGUUGGUGGGGUAACGGCCUACCAAGGCGACGAUCCAUAGCUGGUCUGAGAGGAUGAUCAGCCACACUGGGACUGAGACACGGCCCAGACUCCUACGGGAGGCAGCAGUAAGGAAUAUUGGACAAUGGGGGCAACCUUGAUCCAGCCAUGCCGCGUGAGUGAUGAAGGCCUUCGGGUUGUAAAGCUCUUUUAGGUGUGACGAUGAUGACGGUAACACCAGAAAAAGCUCCGGCUAACUCCGUGCCAGCAGCCGCAGUAAGAC
rnacentral:rRNA from 1 species